ensembl:lncRNA
GGAAGAUGAAGAGCAGGGGGAAGAUUUUGAUUCCCUGUCCCCGUGAGAAUUGCUGAUGACUACUUCUGGACACAGAUAUCAUGCUGAGAACUGUUUAUCAAAAUGAUUUAACAGAAUAUUAAUUUUCAUAGAAGACAUGUCAAUGUUCCUGAGGGCAUGCAGCCCUGGAAAAGAGAGCCAGAUGGCAGAAGCAAGCAGUGUGGAAUGUUCUUACUGAGGAAGACCUUCUCAAAGCUGAUGAUGUAAUAGGUAUGAAGGAGCAUUUCAUGGGAGUCACAGUCCCAUGCACCUGUGUCAGGGCACACAGAGCUCCUAGCCUUGCAUCCUGCGUGAGAGGUGACCUGGAAUAUUCCCUGAUCCCAACAGGGUCCUGGGUUGCAUGGUUCCCCCUCAGUCAUGGUCCUCCCUGUGCCUCAUGGGGUACGCAGCUUCUACGGGCUGAAUUUAUAUCAGUGAUUAACUGGAGCUGGACCACAACCACACCACAGGCAAGCCCUGGGCACUGAGGACAUUAAGAGCAGCAGACAACAUCUCCUCCGCUGCUUCUGACUCUGUUCCACAAGCCAAGGCAGCUCCCACACAGCAGGCAUCCAGCCUAACUCCCAGCAGGGAGAGUGUGAGAUGUCUGUGGAUGAGCCCACAGGGACUACAGGAUUCUGUGGGAAGACAUCUGGUAGCUUCUGGAGCAGCUGCAGCAUCCAGGACACAUGAACUACAGUGGAGUUCAGAUCCUCAGCUGGCCUCAUCACGGACAGUCCCAUGAGGAGUGGGUGUUUGGUUCCUGCUUCCCAGUUAGGGCAGGAACAAGCCCAGACGCAGCUUACCAGAGCAUGAAAACGAAAUGGCCACCUCCUGUAACAAGAAAGACUUCUAGAAGAGGAAGGAGACAUCAAUACAUUCACAAAACCUUCAACUCGAAAUCUCUCUUGCCAAUAAGUGUGUAGGGAUAAAGACAGAAAAGUAGCACACCUGUCUCCAGAGGCUUCACUCAGCAGCUGAAAGCCACAGCCAAUCCUCAGAUGGAGCUCGGGAAGUCUUGUGGAAGAGUGGGGGGAGAGUGACAAGGAAACUGGUUGGGUUAAAACACUACAAGAAGUCCCCUACCGUCAGAUACCUUGGACCAUGGAGUAUGCUAGAGCCUGUGC